rnacentral:rRNA from 1 species
UACGAAGGGGGCUAGCGUUGUUCGGAAUUACUGGGCGUAAAGGGCGCGUAGGCGGCGUGUCAAGUCAGGCGUGAAAGCCCCGGGCUCAACCUGGGAACCGCGCUUGAGACUGGAGAACUAGAGUUCGGGAGAGGAUGGUGGAAUUCCCAGUGUAGAGGUGAAAUUCGUAGAUAUUGGGAAGAACACCGAUGGCGAAGGCAGCCAUCUGGACCGACACUGACGCUGAGGCGCGAAAGCGUGGGGAGCAAACAGGG